CGCGACCNCAGGUCAGGCGGGG
rnacentral:rRNA from 1 species